UUUCCCGAGGUGAUCACUUUAUUGUUGAUGCUUUACAGAAUCUCAAUUACAAUUUAUAAUACUACGAGUACAAAUCACUUCUAAAGAUUGUGAGAAAGCUGGUUGCAAAUAAGAAUAUAGUGUGGACCAAACAUGAAAUGUUUUUUUGUAAACUAGGAUUAUUUUUGCUCUGCAACUCGGAUGAACCAGUCACACCAAAAACAACCAUUAACAACCUUUAUCCAUCAGAAAAACCGUUUUGGUUAAACCAAUCAACAAGAUGAAACCAACAAUUCACACAUGAUGAAAUAAAGAAUUGAAUUUGUCAAACUACUAGAAGUGUGUUUUUCGUCUUGCAAUUUAGUUUGAGUGGAAUCAAACUAUCUCCAAUCAGCAAGAGAGGAUGCCCUAGAUUGAGUUUGGAUUUCAAUUCUCAACCAGGUUCUAACUGUUUCCUUGAUGCAAGUUUUACGUCAACAAUUACAAAAGGUGCUCACAGAAGGUGGGGACAGGAGCGUCACACCACAGCACAACAGGAACAACUACCAAUCCGCCAACCCCUCGGCUACAAAACCAUCACCAACACCCAUGGAUCACUUCACUGUUCAUACUCUGAAGUAUCCUUCAAAAUUACGGUUAUUCUUGUGGAUAGUCAUUGAAGAAGGUUUCAUAACAUUCACACUCCGGAUCGACCACCAUCACACCAUCAACAACUACUGGGCUAGUGGUAACUGUUGUGCUCUACACCAACUGUGGAUUCAGACACCGGGAUCAAGAAACAACAAAGAUUGUGACGAAACUGGUAACAUGGAUUAAAACAAGAAUCAAAGAUCGCAGAAAUAUCCACGCUAUCAAAGGGAUAAGGUCUAAUCGAACAAGACGGUCAGAAGUUAAUGCUUAUAAUUGGGAAUUAGUUAUGCUUACGGUUUUGCUUAAUUUACCCGAUUGUAAAGACUGGGAAUGCUACAUUCCUAAACUAUGUAACCCUUGAAUUUCGAGCCUUUAAAUAAAAUUCUCUUUU